rnacentral:rRNA from 1 species
UACGGAGGGAGCGAACGUUGUUCGGAUUUACUGGGCGUAAAGGGUGUGUAGGCGGUCUUGCAAGUCAGGGGUGAAAUCUCUCGGCUCAACCGAGAAACUGCCUUUGAGACUGCAGGACUUGAGGGCGUGAGAGGAGACUGGAAUUCCUAGUGUAGCGGUGAAAUGCAUAGAUAUUAGGAGGAACACCAGUGGCGAAGGCGAGUCUCUGGCACGCAUCUGACGCUGAAACACGAAAGCCAGGGGAGCGAACGGG